rnacentral:lncRNA from 1 species
UGAUCAUCAUGUGAGGGGCUUCCUUCUCCCACAUUCUUUCACCACGUUGUUGUGCCUCACCUGGAGAUGGGAAGAAUGGAGCCUGCUGUCUGUGGAUGGAGACCUCUGAAACUGUGAACCCUCAAAUCCUCUACAGUUGUUCUGGUCGGGUCUUUUAUUCACAGCAGUGAAAAAGCUGACUAAAACAAACAGCGAGGCCUACUUCUCACUGCAGAGCCCAGGACCAGGUGCACAUCUAGGUGAGAGACGCUGUGGUGAUUCUGAUUGACUUCAGGCCUGGCCUGACCACAGGACUCAGGGCAGGCCCCAGACUACACUAGCUGGCUUUCAGGAGGAUAGGAGGUGGGGGAGGUGUCAAAGACAAGGUGGGGAAAAUGCUUCCAUGCCCUGUUGUUUGUUGUUUUCCUGAAUGUGAGGUUGUUUUGUUUCCCUUUUCUCCUAAGGCCAGCUGAAGAAUGUCAAAGUUGUGUGGUUUUACAUCCUGGAAUCUCCCUUCUCCUGACCAGCUUUCUCACACUCUCUCAAAAAACCAUCUUUGGCCCUGCCCCCAGCUCCACCCUGGGAAGAGGACUUUCCCUUCUUCAGCCUCCUGCCAGCCACAGUUCUCUCCACUUCACCACACCCCACCAGCUCAGGCUCAGCACACUCAGCUGCAGGUUCCUGAGGUGCAGACAUGUCCUGUUGUCCACGCGUGCAGUGCCUACGGUGACUUUCCUGGCACACCAGCAGCAGGAGAAGAGGAGCUCAGAAAUAUUUGUUGAAUAAAUGGCAAGAAAUUUGGUCUAAUUCAAGAGCAAAGAGAGAACAGGUGUCUAAGAUUCACUUCUUUAAUUUCCUGGGGAAUAACAU